rnacentral:lncRNA from 1 species
GGCGAGGUGUAGCUCUACACGAAUGCAAUGCAAGGGUUAGCUCAGACAGUUAGUUCAACAGCAACACUGGCUCGCCUGAGCCCAGAAACUCGCGACAAAGAGCAGGAGGCGAUGGUGGUUCGAGAGCUGAGGCUAACCAAAAGGUAAGGGUGGGAAAGGAACUAGUGGUCUGAUCCUUGAACUAGAGGACGUGAGAAACCCGGGGUCCUUAGACGCAAGCGCUGAAGGUUUCCCAAGUUUUACACAUACACCCUCGAGUUGAAGAAAAAGAUCACAGCCAAGCCCUCGGGCGAGGCGGAUAAGGGUCGGCAGAACAGACGGGGUCGGACGAGACGGAACUGAGGUCGGACGGAUAGGAGGGGUCGGGCGAGGCGGACUGGGGGUCGGCAACUCACCUUCUUCCUGAAAGGAAAGCUUGGGGUCGGGAAGGAGCAGACUUGGACGGAGGGACUAAAGCUUCGAGCAGGGGUUAAGACUGGCAAAGCUCCGGCGGCGGCGCUGCUUCUUGCGGAACACAAGAGAGCUCUUACGCAGCACGGGGGAGCAAUCUGCUGGGUGACUUGGAGAAAACUGAGAGAAUCUGAGAGCAGAGCUCCUCAAGACUUGGUGUGUGGCGCUUGGAGCUUGAGC